rnacentral:lncRNA from 1 species
CUUUAUCACUCCUCUUUUCAAAAUAAAUCUUCAAAAUACUGUGAUCGAUGAGCCUUGCAGUCACUCAUCUCCUACAUUCACACAAAUGAAUGGGAGCUUUUGUCUGCUCUACGAACAGAAGAAUAGGAGAGCAGGUGAUGUGAAAGUUGCCAAUGACAGCACUGCAAGCUGACUCGUAUCACAUCUCAUUUUCCCAUAAAUAUUCAAUUUUAUAACAGUGUGCCUUGCUUUAAACCAUCUCCAGUGAUUAAAACAGAAGUUGGAAAACAGACUACUGGGGACUUACUUUCCAACAUAUUUUUUAAACUUUAAAUUUUACUUGCUCUGGAAUAAUUUUAAAUAUUGGAUUGCUCCGUUAUUUGAAGUUGGAAGUUAUUUUCUAAAAUGUGAUUUACAGACAUUUCUACAGACAUUUCAGGAACAUCUCUUUGCCAGCAAAAUUUCACAACAAUCUUCCAAAAAUUUAAUUGCUUCUUUAUCAUACAACUGGAGAAGUGGUUUACCUGACUUGUUUGGCUCUGUCAAGCUCUGGAGGAAGAGACAGUUGGUCACCACCCGCUGUGACUCGUGGCUAAGUGGAGUGUUAUGACAAUAAGCACAACAGAUUCCAUAAGCACUACUCACUUGGCUCGCCUUAUUUAUAUUGGCAGAAGACAUUUUCAGCUCGCCCCUGCACCAAUGCAUACUAUUAGAGCUGGUUCCUAUUAAAUGUAAUAAUUUGGUUUUCCUCUUUGGGAUAUUACUUCUUGAGGCCAAAAUCUUUGGUAAUGAGAUUGGAUUGUGACAAAGGGACAAAUAUAGAUUGUUUUCUUUGAGUAUCUUAUUUCUAAUUCAAGCACAUGUUUGAAUCCUGUAUUUGUUUCAUUUUAAUUCUUCUAUUUGGUAAGUAUUUGAUAGAAUGAGAAUAAUUGCUGUUGAAGGCCCCAUUAAAUGAAAUUUAAUUGGCCAGGGAAGAAAUAAUUUCUUCCUUUCACUCAUGAUUUUAACUUCUGAGGUCAUAGAAAUCCUCAGUUAAAUAUUUCAGGAUGUCUUAAAAGAUUGAAAGUAUGGUCUUUUAUAU